rnacentral:rRNA from 1 species
CGGAUUGUAGGCUGCAACUCGCCUACAUGAAGUCGGAAUCGCUAGUAAUCGCGGAUCAGCAUGCCGCGGUGAAUACGUUCCCGGGCCUUGUACACACCGCCCGUCACACCAUGAGAGUUUGUAACACCCAAAGCCGGUGGGGUAACCUUUUGGAGCCAGCCGUCUAAGGUGGGACAGAUGAUUGGGGUGAAGUCGUAACAAGGUAUC